rnacentral:rRNA from 1 species
CGCGUAGGCGGUCUUGCGUGUCAAGUGUGAAAUCUCCGGGGCUCAACCCCGGAAAGUGCGCUUGAAACUACAGGACUCGAGUCUGGGAGAGGGGAAUCGGAAUAUAGGGUGUAGCGGUGAAAUGCGUUGAUACCCUAUAGAACACCGGAGGCGAAGGCGGAUUCCUUGAACGGUACUGACGCUGAGGCGCGAAAGUCGGGGGAGCAAACA